rnacentral:rRNA from 2 species
UUCCUACGGGGGGCAGCAGUGGGGAAUAUUGGACAAUGGGCGCAAGCCUGAUCCAGCCAUGCCGCGUGAGUGAUGAAGGCCUUAGGGUUGUAAAGCUCUUUUACCAGGGAAGAUAAUGACGGUACCUGGAGAAUAAGCCCCGGCUAACUUCGUGCCAGCAGCCGCGGUAAUACGAAGGGGGCUAGCGUUGCUCGGAAUCACUGGGCGUAAAGCGCACGUAGGUGGGUCGUUAAGUCGGGGGUGAAAUCCUGGAGCUCAACUCCAGAACUGCCUUCGAUACUGGCGAUCUUGGAGUCCGGGAGAGGUGAGUGGAACUGCGAGUGUAGAGGUGAAAUUCGUAGAUAUUCGCAAGAACACCAGUGGCGAAGGCGGCUCACUGGCCCGGUACUGACACUGAGGUGCGAAAGCGUGGGGAGCAAACAGGAUUAGAUACCCCAGUAGUCCU